rnacentral:rRNA from 1 species
AGAGUUUGAUCAUGGCUCAGAACGAACGGUGGCGGCGUGGAUAAGACAUGCAAGUCGAACGGGAUUUCAAAUGUAGCAAUACAGUUGAAGUUCAGUGGCGCAAGGGUGCGUAACACGUGGGCAAUCUGCCCUGGAGCGCGGGAUAGCUUGGCGAAAGCCAAAUUAAUACCGCAUGUGGCUAUCGGAGGAGUCUCCGAGACGCUAAAGACGGCGCAAGCUGUCACUCCUGGAUGAGCCCGCGGCCUAUCAGCUAGUUGGUGAGGUAACGGCUCACCAAGGCUAUGACGGGUAGCUGGUCUGAGAGGACGACCAGCCACACUGGAACUGAGACACGGUCCAGACACCUACGGGUGGCAGCAGUCGAGAAUUUUUCUCAAUGGGGGAAACCCUGAAGGAGCGACGCCGCGUGGAGGAUGAAGGUUUUCGGAUUGUAAACUCCUGUCAUUUGGGAACAAACCUUUCAUUUAACUGAUGAAAGACUGAUAGUACCAGAAGAGGAAGAGACGGCUAACUCUGUGUUAGCAGCCGCGGUAAUAC